rnacentral:rRNA from 1 species
GACGAACGCUGGCGGCGUGCUUAACACAUGCAAGUCGAACGGAAAGGCCCUGCUUUUGUGGGGUGCUCGAGUGGCGAACGGGUGAGUAACACGUGAGUAACCUGCCCUUGACUUUGGGAUAACUUCAGGAAACUGGGGCUAAUACCGGAUAGGAGCUCCUGCUGCAUGGUGGGGGUUGGAAAGUUUCGGCGGUUGGGGAUGGACUCGCGGCUUAUCAGCUUGUUGGUGGGGUAGUGGCUUACCAAGGCUUUGACGGGUAGCCGGCCUGAGAGGGUGACCGGCCACAUUGGGACUGAGAUACGGCCCAGACUCCUACGGGAGGCAGCAGUGGGGAAUAUUGCACAAUGGGCGGAAGCCUGAUGCAGCAACGCCGCGUGCGGGAUGACGGCCUUCGGGUUGUAAACCGCUUUCGCCUGUGACGAAGCGUGAGUGACGGUAAUGGGUAAAGAAGCACCGGCUAACUACGUGCCAGCAGCCGCGGUGAUACGUAAGGUGCGAGCGUUGUCCGGAUUUAUUGGGCGUAAAGGGCUCGUAGGUGGUUGAUCGCGUCGGAAGUGUAAUCUUGGGGCUUAACCCUGAGCGUGCUUUCGAUACGGGUUGACUUGAGGAAGGUAGGGGAGAAUGGAAUUCCUGGUGGAGCGGUGGAAUGCGCAGAUAUCAGGAGGAACACCAGUGGCGAAGGCGGUUCUCUGGGCCUUUCCUGACGCUGAGGAGCGAAAGCGUGGGGAGCGAACAGGCUUAGAUACCCUGGUAGUCCACGCUGUAAACGGUGGGUACUAGGUGUGGGGUCCAUUCCACGGGUUCCGUGCCGUAGCUAACGCUUUAAGUACCCCGCCUGGGGAGUACGGCCGCAAGGCUAAAACUCAAAGGAAUUGACGGGGCCCCGCACAAGCGGCGGAGCAUGCGGAUUAAUUCGAUGCAACGCGUAGAACCUUACCUGGGUUUGACAUGGAUCGGGAGCGCUCAGAGAUGGGUGUGCCUCUUUUGGGGUCGGUUCACAGGUGGUGCAUGGCUGUCGUCAGCUCGUGUCGUGAGAUGUUGGGUUAAGUCCCGCAACGAGCGCAACCCUUGUUCACUGUUGCCAGCACGUUAUGGUGGGGACUCAGUGGAGACCGCCGGGGUCAACUCGGAGGAAGGUGGGGAUGACGUCAAGUCAUCAUGCCCCUUAUGUCCAGGGCUUCACGCAUGCUACAAUGGCUGGUACAGAGAGUGGCGAGCCUGUGAGGGUGAGCGAAUCUCGGAAAGCCGGUCUCAGUUCGGAUUGGGGUCUGCAACUCGACCUCAUGAAGUCGGAGUCGCUAGUAAUCGCAGAUCAGCAACGCUGCGGUGAGUACGUUCCCGGG